rnacentral:rRNA from 1 species
UACGGAGGAUGCGAGCGUUAUCCGGAUUUAUUGGGUUUAAAGGGUGCGUAGGCGGGCUUUUAAGUCAGCGGUAAAAAUUCGGGGCUCAACCCCGUCCGGCCGUUGAAACUGGGGGCCUUGAGUGGGCGAGAAGAAGGCGGAAUGCGUGGUGUAGCGGUGAAAUGCAUAGAUAUCACGCAGAACCCCGAUUGCGAAGGCUGCCUUCCGGCGCCCUACUGACGCUGAGGCACGAAAGUGCGGGGAUCGAACAGG